UACAGAGGUCCCGAGCGUUGUUCGGAUUCAUUGGGCGUAAAGGGUGCGUAGGUGGCGCUGUAAGUGGGGUGUGAAAUCCCGGGGCUUAACUCCGGAACUGCAUUCCACACUGCGGUGCUUGAGGACUGGAGAGGAGACUGGAAUUUACGGUGUAGCAGUGAAAUGCGUAGAGAUCGUAAGGAAGACCAGUGGCGAAGGCGGGUCUCUGGACAGUUCCUGACACUGAGGCACGAAGGCCAGGGGAGCAAACGGG
rnacentral:rRNA from 1 species